AAGCCAGGCAGAUGGGCAGGGGUCCCCAGGGUCCCAGGGUCGGCAGAGCCACCCCCAGGGCAAUCCCUAGAGGACCCCGUCUAGGGCGCUCUGUGCACCGCUCUGGGCACCUGGGACUAGGUUAGAAAAUAAGUUGUCCCUGAACCUGGAUGAGACUUGCAGGGUGGGGACCAUGCAGGCAGACACACUGCAAAAGCUGGUAAAGUACCCGGUGUCUGUCCUCCAGAGCAGACUACUGUGUCCUGCCUCCCGGUCUAUCUCCUGAAACUUCUCCAGCACCCAACAGGUCACACCUGCUGUGGAAAAGCUCCAGCACCAUCUCCAGAGUGGCUUUGGCUCCAGCAUCAGUUCCUGUAGCAUCUCCAGAGCCAGAUCCAGCUGUAUAACUACAGGACCCAAGCCCGCAUAGAGCUGGAGGCACUAUUGUCAUUAGAUUCAAUGCCGCCUCCAGUGGCAGAGCCGAGUGUAUGACCAAUUCUAACAGCAAUUUCAGAGCUAGAGACUGCUCCAGAAGCAGCCCAGAGCGGCCUGUCUUCCCACAUGAGGAACAGGAGCUGUACCUGUUCACCUCCCUCCACGCCAGCUCCUGAGCUAUACCUGGCACCACGGCUGACCUCCUCUCCCCUCUGGUGGUACCAUUUUUUUUUUUUUUCAUUUUUCUUUUCAAAUUCUUAAAAAAACCCAUCUUGUUAAAAUUUAGAUUUAGGAUUAUGUAACCUUUUAGUCAUUUUAAACUGCAAUUUAGAGGCAUUAAGUACUUCCCUAUGCUGUGCAGCCAGCCCCACUAUCUGUUUUCAUCUCCCGGAGAGGAAAGCCCACACCCAGUGAUCACUGCCUUCUCUUAGCCCCCAGCAACAGCUAACCUGUUUUGCCUGUUUCUUUACCUAGUCUGGAUUAUCAUACAAUGUGGCCUUUUAAGUAUGCCCACAUAUUUUAAGGACUCAUUUUGCUUUUCUUAAAAUUCAAAAUAGCACUUUUUAUUUAAAAGAGAAAUCCCAGAUUAAAAAAAAAAAAAGAUUAUAUGUGAAAACUGAAGCC